GUCAGUGGCCACCGUAGAUUAUCGUCCACGAUCGCACGCACUCAUCGCAGGGAAUUGAGGUGCUUCACCCCUGUGCUGCCUGCUGCGCCUGCGCGUACUGCUCACCACCAUCAACAAGGACCAUAUGAGCACGCGCCUGUUGGCCAGGACUUCAUUUGGCAGCAGCAGUUGCGGUGGCAUGUCUCCGUUCUAAGACACAUUUCUUCUGCCAAUAGGCGCAAACACUUGACCAGUGGACAAAAUUGGAGGCUAAUCCUUAUGAUGACCACAUAUGGCACCAAGAUUGGCGUCUGCACUUCUAUCAGUGGACUUGAGCUGAAGAUUGCCUUUGCAAGUGCGUCAUGCUGCAG